rnacentral:lncRNA from 1 species
CUGAUCCCCUUACCUACAUAGCCAUUCUUAUAGAUCUGGGCGUUGAAACACGAUUGGACUUGUAAGUGACAUUUUUUGUCCCCAACGCCGUUUAAAUCGUUGUUUAUUUAUAUUAUAACACAUAAUUAGGAACAUAUAUUCAAAAACUUUUCCGACAUUAGGCUGUAAUAAAUUUGAUAUGACCCAAAUGUUGCACUGGUAUUUUAAAAUAAAACUUAGGUCUAGAUCUUCACUAAGUUUAGGUUGUUGAGUAAAGAGCUAAUGUUAUUUUCAAAUUUGUACUUUAGUCAAGGGCUCAGUAUAACAACUUAAUUACCGACUGAAAAGAGAGAGAACCUCAAAAUUUUCACCAAAAGGACCUAGUCUUUUUGACCCAAAAAACACAACGCAUGGCUCAAACGCUCUUUUGACCAUAAUGGCGGUGGUGUUUUCCAUGUGUAGUCCAUAAACUUGAACACUCACAGGUUAAAUUGAUAACAAUAUCACUGAUAUAUGAAGCCUAAUAACACAUGGCAUGCGUACGUAUGUACUACAAGCAACA